CCCUGUCGGAGUACUGUUCGCAUGAGGCAAGUGCUGUUUCUGACAGCAAGUACCUACGAUACUCCAGGAGGAUCAGUACGUCUUCACUGCCCGUCAGCAAUCUCAACACACUAUGUCAAUAUCCAGGUUGGGGGAGAGCAACCCCCGUACACCGAGCUAAGUAUCCCUUACUCACUUAUCUAUUUAUUUCUAGUGCGUUAUGAUUAGAUUAAAAGAUGAAUAAUCUUAGAAACCCAAAAAAGGUUUUAUCUUUCAUAAUUAAUCUUGCUAGGAGAGCUUCUAAUGAAUCCGUUAAGAUGAACCUCUAGAAUUAACUCUUAUAUGAAGAUGAUGAAUAGUUGCUCUGCCUCCUUGCAAGUACCUAGUUUUCAACCUUGUACUUUCUUGAGUUUUAGGCACAACUGUUUAGACUUCAGAUUUGCUCUGAGCCUAAAACUUGUGGGUAGCAAAUGCUUGAUCUAAGUCUAGGUAGUUGACGGAUAUGAUAUGGGAAGGAUUUGAGCUACUAUCAAUCUUGCUCCUAGAGAUGCUAGAAUUCUAGGGAAUUUUAUUUUGAAAAUCUUAAAUUGCUACAUGAUGAGUUACUUUAUGACGAGAGUUUUAAAAUUCCUACCACAACCAAUUACUCAUACUUACUAGAUUAGGAAAACCUCCACUUAUAUUUCAACCUAUAAGCAUUGAGAGUAGUUAAGCUGUGUAGACCCUAUGGAACUAGUCAUGCAGUUAAAGUCAAUAUUAUGUGCUCUCCAUCUAUUGAUCUUAGCUACUUCUAUCCUCAAAAGUAUGCAACCAGUUUCAUCCACCACAUUCACUAUGUGCUACUUCUGUUCCUGAAUAUCACCCACAUAUACGCACUACACCCUGUGUUGUUUCUAUCCUCGAGACAUGCACCUAUGCUGCUCCUACCCUAAGAGUACGCAUUCCUUUAUUCACCCACAAACAUUUCACAUCCACUUAGAAAUGUUCUACUCCUACACUGGGAGAAGACACCCAAAAAUAUUCAAUGUCUUAUUCUACUUAUAUCUAAUAAAGCUCCAGUUAUCCUAGUUGAUACUCCCUACUGUUAUCAUUGCAUUAAAAGGGAUGGCUGAUCUCUGAAAAAAGAAGAGACAGAAAAAAAGAAAAAAAGAAAGAAAGAAAGAGGACAAAAGUCCUAAUGCAAAAGAAAUGAAAAAAUCCUUGUUCUCAGAUUUGGGAAGUUCCACGAGUUUUAGUAUUCUCACUUGUUUUGUAGGAAUAUGCAAUUUUCCAUCAAAUAAAACUACGUGAAAUGAUGAUUUGGACUACACCAUUGUGACGGGCUCGUCGAGACGAUCAAAACAGACAUAUCAUUUGCUAUAUUUGAAGUCCAAAGUGAAAAUAUAUUAUUUUUACAAAUAAAAGAGAAUUACCACUAAUGGGUCCCACGCCCAAGCAAGGCCCAUGACGUGUGAAGACGCUCAUAUGGCAUGAUAGAGGCCCAAGAGAGGCGCCCCAAGCUGCUCUCUUGAGUGGGCUCACAUGAGGGAUGAUUGGAAGGCCCACGUUGAUGUAUAAUAGCCCAACAGAGCAAACGGUGGAAGAAUUAGUCCCACAUCGCCUGUCUAGAAGAGGUGGGAGACCUUUCUGGGCUAUAAAUAAAGAGGCAGACCCCCCUUGCUAAGGGCACCAUAUUAUGGAGAUGUAGAGGCAUCCCUCGAAUGGAUAACCUCUCACCUCUAGAGAACUGAGACUAAACAUUCCAAUGUAGUAGAUUAGUUCUAGUUGAGAGUUAGGGAGAGCGGCGCUAUGCCCGGGUUCUGGAGGAGUUUUUGGAGGAGUCAUGUAAUACCCGAUUUUAAGGACAAAACCAGAUAUGCACCAUAUGUGAGUCUUAGAAGUCAAUUCUCACAUAUAGCUACAAAUAAGGGAUAAUAUCAAUAGACAAUGCAUAAAUAUAUAACGUACUUAGUAUAAAAGAGAUAACCUUUGAUAACAAACAGCGGAUAGACAACUCCAAACUUCGGGUAUUAACUUCUCUCUACAGGAUCCAACUGACUGGUUGAUCACAAGCCUAACACUCCUCCUGAUGUAUGAGGGAAAUAGCAAGAGUGAGUCCAUGUCGAACUCCACAAAUAUAGCAACUAGAUUAUAUAGCGCCAACAAUCUCAUGAUCAAUGUGACAUAAAUAAUGUAAAGCAUUCAAUAAUAAAUAAUGAGUAUUUUAACACAACAAGAAUCAUCACCCUUAAUGCAAGAAUCCCCAAGGCCGCUCUUGACCAUGAGCACGGCUAGUAUACCAGUUUUAACACUCUCCAGAGGUUGUACAUCUUUACCCAUGAGUCAUGAUUUACCCUUUCGCCCGAGGUGAUCAGCCUCUUAACGCACUACCAUGGAAGGUCGGCAGAGAUCACUAUGAAGCCUUUCAAAAGUUCGUUUAACAUGUUAGGGCCGCAAGGUUUUCCAGGCGCGCAGAUAUAGAUGCCCCUCUUCCAAAUGGCACAAUGACGCGCAGCCUAUACACAUAAGGAUAGAGGCUCGCACUAUACCCAAAACGGUUAGGCCCCUCUAGCGCCCUUUCGGGUAACCGCUAACAAGCUAGAAAAGGUCUUCAUACUGAGCUAAAGCCAGAGCCAUUAUAGCCCUCAUGGUUGCACUGUUGUCCCGGUUAUCACUUAUAGAUAAAUCAUCAAGUUGCUAAAAAGUCAUUUUUAUCAUUUGUUGCUUUAACAUUAAUCACAUCACAAGAUCAUGGUCACAGAAAUAAAACCCAAAUGCUAUACUUGCCUUAAUCCAAUUUUUUCUGCUGGUCUUGCUAGCUCUGCUGGUCUUACUUGUUGCCAAGGCUUUGAUCUUGAUCACCAAAAACUGCUCUCCGUCUAAACUCGAUCAUCGAUCAGACAAACAAUCGGAGAAAACAUACACGAGCAAACAAAUCUACAAUUAGAACAGUACACCAAACAAUAUAAAAACAGUAUGAAAAGUUUAUAAAAUAAUUCUACGCAUCGCUACGAUUUCAUAGACGUAAAGAUCACGAAAAUCGGAGCUAAAACAGAGAAUUUAUAAAUUUUCUAAGAUUUUAUAUAGAAAAGUAAUUAAUUAAUUAAGGUACGAAAUUAAAAAAUUUUAAACUGGUAAAUUAAGUUUACUAACAUGUAGAGCUCAUUAAUACGAAUCCAACGCAAUUUGAAUGGGUCAAAACGGAAUUAAAAUGAAUAUUUUAUGGCCUAUAGAAACUCAGUGACAAACUUGUAAUAACUGGAAAACGUAUUUUCUUUUAAACCAGCACAAAAUACGCCUUUGAAACAGAAAAACGUAAUUUCUCAAAAGCGCCAGGGACCGCGGGUUUAUUCUGAGAAAACACAGGGGCUCUAUAAGAUAAAGACCAGCGAAGGGUUACGUUUUAUUUUGGUUCGUUGGAUCUCGAUUGGAUGGCUGAGAAUCGAUCAAGGACACAGAGAUAUGGCCGGCGGCGUGUCUCUCAGCGGCGCCAUGGCCGGGACUAAAACCAUCUCGCCGGAGCUUUACCAGAUCAUGUUUCCGACCUCGGUUUUCGACGGGAUUAACGUAGGGGGGUAGAGGAGGAGACGACGAACUCACCCACGGAUGUUUUGGAGGCCGAGAGAGUUCGAAGACAACUCGCUUCGUGCUAUGGCGGACGCGAACCUCCUGUUCCACUUCAGCGGUGAUGGGGACUCCGUAGAGGCCGGUAGAGAGCAAAGCGGAAGGCUCUGUAGCUUCACAGGAGCGACUCGGGGUUCGGCCACAACUCAGCUUUGGCUUUAUGGGCAAGGAAGAGGAAUUCCACUACGGCGGUAGUUUUCGCUCCUCAGCGAGAUCGCAAACGUAGCAAGCUUAGAAGCUAGGGCAAAAAGGCGAUGCAAAGGGGGUCUCGGUCCUUUAUAGGGACUCGGUAGUUGAUUUAAGGCAACAAAUUUCGCAAAGAACAGGGAAGAUCGCACACUUGUUUGGUGGCGGAUUUGUUCGGUGUCCGGAGAAUGGCUUGGUCACGGCGGAGUGAAAGGGGAAGGAAGGGAAGGGCACUGCCGCAUGGGCUCCAUAGAUCAGUGAGAGAAGGAAUGGGACCCGAUCGUCAGACAGACAGAAGAGGGGAAGGAGGCAGUGCGCGUCCACGGGCCGCGCGGCUUGGGCCGGCCUGCCAAUCCAGAAGCUGGCCAACGGGCCGGGAGAGGAGAGUGGGCUCGGGCGGGGAGAAGAAAGGAGAAGCGGAGCUGGGCUGGGGGGCAGGCUUGCCUACGUGUGGGGCUAGGCCAGAGUGGCCAAGGGUCCGGUUCUCCCUUCUUUUCUUUUCAUUUUUUUUAAAUUCAAAACCAUUUCAAACUCAGUUUCAAAAGCAUUUAAAUACAUUCUUUUUGAAUUUUGAGUUCAAAUACACACAUCACCACAAAUAAAAUGCAGAAGCAUGAGUGCACAAGAAUGUUGGUAGGUCCUAUGAUAAAUUUUAUUCAAAUGAAAAAAAUAUUAUUUCUCUAUGUUUCAUGAGCACAAAAAUAAAAAAUUAAAAUAAUUUUCAUCUAUUUAAAAGGAGCAAAAUUUUAGGGUGUUACAAAUCUACCCCCCUUAAAAUGAAUCUCGUCCUCGAGAUUCGGAAAAGGCACGGAUUCCAAAAGAGAAAUAGGAAAAAGAUAUUGAUCACUAUUUCAACUUCACAACUGGUAUUCCAAAUGCAAACACUUAUGUCUCGGGAUCACAACUUGUGAACAAAACUUCCAUAAAAUAUCUUUUAUUCGUAAUUGUUCAAGGUCCAUCUUGACUACCAACUUUUUGACUUAUACAACUCGAAGACAUAAUAACUAAGCAUGGAUAUGCCUCCUUAGGUAGGAGUGGACCACCUUCAUACUCAAUUCUUUUCCCUGAUGGUGCGGUUAAGAAAAUUUUCCACUGGGUAGCAUGGAUCACUCCUUUGUGUGCACAUAACCACAAGAUAGCUUAGAAGACAGUUAUCACUUCAUGAUAGUUUAAAAUGCAUCUUCCAGUGAUAUCAAGGUACUACCCCCUUAAGACGAGGUUGGUUGGGGGACAUUCGGGACUAAUUCUCCUAUCCUUUUUAGACGCUACACAUCAUAUAGUCAUUUAAAUUCAUUGUACCGAGUCUCUUGAUCCAAGGUUAGUUUCAUCACUAAGCUCCAAUUAUCGGUACCUUUAUCACAGUUAAGUUGUUUCACUCUCAUAUUGUAUAUAUAACUUUGCAGACUUUGGUGUCAUCUGAUUCUCAUAACUUAACUCUCAAUCCAUGAGUAUCGGUAAUGACAUAAACCUCCAUUGGUAUUAGCAAAAUCCAGAUGGAAUGACAUCUUGAAACAAACCAAACAUACCAAGCACUUGAUGUCCUUAUAGAUGUUCCAGUCAUUAACCACUUCUCCUCCUUGUAACUUCUUUAAUUAGGCUACCCCCCUUAAGUCAACUAGGGGCACAAGAAAGGUAGCUUGCAUGUUUUCCCAGACAAGUUAACUAACAUUGAGAACAUCUGACAUUCCAAAGAACUUAUGUGCAAGAGAACAAAUAGGUAUCCAGAAAUUUUCUCGCGAUAUGAAAACAUUAGCGUAGUAAAACAGAUAUAACUCUUACUCAGUUAAUUCCAUAGAGAUAUAGCUUAUACUGUUAGAAAUCUUAUCAAAUUCCCUACAACUUUCAUGUAGAAGACAUCCUUAGGGUCUGUCUUUAAGCUUAGGUAAAAUAGCCAAACAUAAUAUACAUCCUGACAAUGUCUCAGCAAAGGUGCAGUAACUUCCAAAAGUUAUAUCUCGAGCUACUUAACUCAUCUGGAGAUGAUCCUUACAUUUUUUAAAAGCUUAGGAAAUCCUUUACAACUUUUGUAUACAAUAUUUUCCCAGAUUCUGAUUUUAACUUGGCUGAAAAUAGGAAAUGCCAGAUCUGUCCAGAUCUUGAAAUAGAACAGGAACAUCCAAGUAAAUGUCAUAUCUCAGGUUCUACUCAUCCAAAUGAGUUCCUGCUUAUACUUUUGGAAAACUUAGAAAAUUGUCUACAACUUUUCUAUAGAACACGUUUCCAAAUUCUAUAGUUAUAUUUGUCUAAAACAGUAGGUAACCGAAACUGGUCCAGACUUCUUGACAGCGCGACUGUAUCAUCUUAUUAUUUUUGGAACUUCCAAACCAUAACAGCUACGAGGGUGAUUAUUGCGGUCAGAGAAAGAUCUUGAAGUCCACUGUAAUCCAAAAAUUUUCUCAUGAUUUUUGUUCAUCCGAGAACAGAGAUAUAAUCUGAUAAAGAGAGGAUACUCCGCAAAGACAGGAUAAGAUGACAAGUGAAAACCAAAACCCAACUAUUUAUUUCAUUAAUCCUUAUGUCUUAGAUCUAUAAACUAAAUGAAAUUGUGAAGAAUACUCACAAUAUCAUUACACUCAUUACAAAGAUCCAAAUCAAACAUAAGCAUAAUGACAAACUAACUAAGCAUCCAAGGUUCACUCCGCUUGCGAUACUAUCGUUUUCUUCAUAGGGAGGGUAAGGAUCCUAAAACUCCUCUUUCAAAGACGCAAGAAGGUGAUAAGAAAAGGUUCUAAAAGCAUACCAAAUCAAGGAGUGAAGAUGAGAACAAGAACUUUUAAAAUAAGCAACAAGGUAGAGACAAAUAGCAAGGGUAGAGAUGUAGUACAUAGAGAAAAAUACCAAGGUUUAGAGAGCAAGGGUGUUAUAACAAUUUUAACACCUUAAGACAACCAAUUUGUAACUAGGCUUGCAUUCUACAGUCAGCAUUGCUUUGAUACCACUUUGUAAUACCCGAUUUUAAGGACAAAACCAGAUAUGCACCAUAUGUGAGUCUUAGAAGUCAAUUCUCACAUAUAGCUACAAAUAAGGGGUAAUAUCAAUAGACAAUGCAUAAAUAUAUAACGUACUUAGUAUAAAAGAGAUAACCUUUGAUAACAAACAGCGAAUAGACAACUCCAAACUUUGGGUAUUAACUUCUCUCUACAGGAUCCAACUGACUGGUUGAUCACAAGCCUAACACUCCUCC
rnacentral:lncRNA from 1 species